CUUCUUCCUUGUUCUUUCUUUUCCUGUCUCUCCUUGUUGCGCCGUCCUUUCCCCUUCGCCUGGGACACGCCUGAGCGGUGCCUUGCCCUGAGUGCGAUUGGAGCCGGCCAAAACUACGUUGAGGCGACGCUCAAACGCGUCCGUAUGUCGAUUAGGGUCAAGCACCUCUGCUAGCGGUGUCGACGGGGCGAAAACAGAUCGCCAUCUUCCAUGAAUCAAUUGAGCUCGACGUUUGGACUGACUCUUCUUGGGUCACAUACUCGCUCCAGCAUCGCCGCCGCUCCCGCUCCUUCGUGGAUGCGUUGGUCGGCCAUCUAACUCCUGGAUUCUGCCAUUGAUCUGGACUCCUGGGCCACCAUCAGCACCUGCCUCCGCCAAGGCCAUGCCUGCACCAAGAACAGUGCGUUCAUGGGAGUCUGCGGUGAAUUCUGCUUAUUCCCAUUAAGUAGCUGCCAAGAUUGCUACAUUUAACGGAGGAAUUCACUGCCUAGAUUGAGUUUGCCACACUUCCUUUCAGAUUAUGCAGUUGAAGAAGGUCCCCUUUGCAGCCUCAGAUUGAUGUGAUUGUUUUCAUUGAAAAGAUAAACACGAUCCUGCUCCUUCUGCAUCGGCGUCCUUGGUUGUGGCACGAGGUCCUUGGUUGUUGCAAUGAUGAGGAACCCCAAUCUUAUGAGACAAUCUCCCUAUUCGCUAGACUCGGUUUACGUCUUGAUUGACAUGAUAAGAUUUCUUUUCCAGUUUCUAUGUUCAU